UAAUAAUUAACUGUACCGAAGACAGUAGGUGACCUAGUCAUAAUUCCUACCGAGGACAAACGUUGAAGAUAAUUCAAUUGUCCCUCUAUGUCUACGGUGGCAUAGAGUUUUUUUAUUUA
rnacentral:sRNA from 1 species